rnacentral:rRNA from 1 species
AUGGCCACUAACCCCGGCCUCUUCAGCGAGUGGGCUUGGAAGAGGCUUGGCAGCUUGAAGUACAUGGUGCUGGCGCCAUGGACGGUGCACGGCCUGCACCUGGUGGCGACCAAUUGGCGCGAGGCCGACCUGGGCUACGUCCUCAUCCUCCCGUCCAUGCUUCUCCGGGCACUCCACAACCAGGCCUGGAUCACCGUGUCACGCCUCCAGAACACGCGCGGCAAGCGCCAGAUCGUCGACCGCGGCAUCGAGUUCGAGCAGGUCGACCGAGAGGGCAACCGGGACGAUCAGAUCAUCCUGAGCGCCAUCCUGCUGCUCCUGGGUGCCAUGUACCUGCCAGGCGGGCAGCACAUACCGCUGUGGCGGACUGACGGCGCGGUUCUGCUUGCGGUGCUACACGCUGGUCCCGUCGAGUUCCUCUACUACUGGUUCCAUCGUGCGCUACACCACCAUUUCCUGUACACACGCUACCACUCGCACCAUCAUGCCUCCAUCGUCACCGAGCCCAUCACAUCUGUUAUCCAUCCAUCUGCUGAGCUCUUGGCCUAUCAACUUCUGUUCUCGAUCCCAAUGAUCACCUGGGCAUUAACUGGAACUGCUUCCAUUAUCACAUUCGAGAUAUAUCUGAUUUACAUUGACUUCAUGAACAACAUGGGCCACUGCAACUUCGAUUUGGUCCCUUGUUGGCUCUUCAAAUGGUCCCCCCCUCUCAAGUAUCUCAUAUAUACGCCAUCGUUUCAUUCUCUUCACCAUACUCAGUUCCGGACAUACUACUCUCUUUUCAUGCCAUUCUAUGACUACAUAUACAACACCAUGGAUAAGUCAUCGGACACAUUGUAUGAAAACUCACUUGAGGACAAAGAAAAAGAACUAGAUGUGGUUCACAUUACCCAUCUUACCAAUCUACAGUCCAUCUAUCAUAUCAGGCCUGGCUUCGCUCAAUAUGCCUCCAGGCCUUAUACUUCCACGUGGCAAAUAUGGAUCAUCUGGCCUGUGUCAUGACUAUCCAUGGUCCUCACUUGGGUGUAUGGUUCUUGGUUCACUGUUGAGAGGAAUGCCAUGAAGGAACUCAACAUCCAGUCAUGGGCCGUGCCAAGAUACAACUUCCAUGUAAGAAUUAUGUGA